UUCAACUUCAGUCGAUCAAACCACAGUAGAUCAAGAAAGUAAAGAGUUAACGCUGAUCACGAUGGCCCCAGAGGAAUGACGUGGAAUUACAUGGAAUUCUUCAAUUCAAUUUUAUUUAUAUAGCGUCAAAUCAUAACUUACAUUAUCUGAAGGCACUUUACAUAGAAGGUCGAGACCUUAAAAAUUAUGGAGAAACACAACAGUUCCCACAAUGAGCAGCACGACUGUGGAGAGAAAAGAGGGGAGAGAGAGAUAAACACGUUUUCAUUGUUAUAAAGAAAACGAUAAGAGUGAUAUUUAUAGAUGUUAUUUAUGAUAGCAGCAACAAUUAAUAAAAUCAUGAUAAUAAUAAUAAGCUCUGUUGACAAAGUGCCACAUUCCCGAUCUUACUCUUCUCAUGUGGGGAUGGUGGAUGCAUUUGUUGGCCUCAUAUCCCGUCAUCCUUUUUCACACAUUUGUAUUUGUCUCAUCAAAAUAGCCAUUGCCGCCAUUGCGGCCAUUAUCGCUGGUAUCAUUGGUGUCAUCAUGAAAAAAAAACGCAGGUCUCAGAGAAGUUAUCCUGACAGUGAGGCUCCAAAACAAGGAGAGGGAAUUCCACUCUCGCAGUAAGCAUUAGCGUCCUGAUGGCCCAGCUGUACAGGAUGUACCAAUGAUCUGAAUGGAAGAGGGCCGCCCCUGGACGAGUGUUUGAACAUGCUUAUGGCUUUAAUUUGGAGAGACAGACAUGAUGAAAUGUCUAGAGAUCCUGAAAUCUCUGCAAAUUGCGCUCUGUUGGGACCUUGUAUUUGUGAACUACAGUUCGGCCUACAUGUGUAGUCAAAAGCUUAAGGCCGCAUGUCCUUUGUUCUGGAGAAAACCAGAGCCUCCAGAACUCCGUCUCCCAGGGUGCCUCAACAUCACACAGAGGUGUGAAAACCGACCAGGGACACAAGUUUCAACUCCUAUUGGUCACUCUGGGCCCCAUGACCUGUGAGGUCACCGGGCCAAUAUAAGGCCAGGUCUCCCCCUCUUCAUUUUCUUUCCAUGCAAUCCCUCCGAGGGGAGAAGUCUGGCUUCUCCAGCUCACAUCUUUUUUUUUUUCUACGCUACCCUCGAGAGGAGAAGGGGGUCCAGCUCACUCUUUCAACUCAAAUCAACUUCAUGGAGGAGAGGUGCAGCUUGCAGCUCAUCUCACCACGGAAACCUCCUCGCAAUCCAAGCUCUACCAACCUUCAAGCAGCGACGCGAUGUCCUG